AUGUCAAAAGACAGUUCAAAAGAGGGAAAAGAGGUGUCAGAGGCACUUGCUGAGGAAACCCCAGCUAUUCAUUGUCAGACCUUCACUCAGUCUCAAGAUGUAGUAAAAAGACCAGGUGAAUCUUUUCGGCUGGUCUGUACUGCCUCUGGAUUUACAUUCAGCAGCUACAGGGCAGCUGUGGUGAGACAAGCACCUGGUAAAGGACUGGAAUGGAUUGCAUACAUCAGCACAUCCAGCUCUCCAAUCUACUAUUCCCAGUCAGUCCAGGGCAGGUUCACAGUGUCUAGAGAUGAUUCCAGCAGUCAACUGUACCUACAGAUGAACAGCCUCAAGACUGAAGACACUGCUGUGUAUUACUGCGCUAGAGAGUCACUGUGA